rnacentral:rRNA from 1 species
AAGAGUUUGAUCCUGGCUCAGGAUUAACGCUGGCGGCGUGCUUAAUACAUGCAAGUCGAACGGAGACCAUUUAUGGUUUUAGUGGCGAACGGGUGAGUAACACGUAAGUAACCUGCCUUUAAGACGAGGAUAACAAGUGGAAACAUUUGCUAAGACUGGAUAGGAAAUAGAAGGAUAACCUUUUAUUUUUAAAAGACCUUCUUCGGAAGGUAUGCUUAAAGAGGGGCUUGCGCCACAUUAGUUAGUUGGUAGGGUAAUAGCCUACCAAGACUAUGAUGUGUAGCUGGACUGAGAGGUUGAACAGCCACAUUGGGACUGAGACACGGCCCAAACUCCUACGGGAGGCAGCAGUAGGGAAUUUUCGGCAAUGGAGGAAACUCUGACCGAGCAACGCCGCGUGAACGAAGAAGUAUUUAGGUAUGUAAAGUUCUUUUAUUGAAGAAGAAAAAAUAGUGGAAAAACUAUCUUGACGCUAUUCAAUGAAUAAGCCCCGGCUAACUAUGUGCCAGCAGCCGCGGUAAGACAUAGGGGGCGAGCGUUAUCCGGAAUUAUUGGGCGUAAAGGGUGCGUAGGCGGUUAGAUAAGUCUAUAAUUUAAUUUCAGUGCUUAACGCUGUUCUGUUAUAGAAACUGUCUAGCUAGAGUGAGAUAGAGGCAAGUGGAAUUCCAUGUGUAGCGGUAAAAUGUGUAAAUAUAUGGAGGAACACCAGAAGCGUAGGCGGCUUGCUGGGUCUUUACUGACGCUGAGGCACGAAAGCGUGGGUAGCAAACAGGAUUAGAUACCCUGGUAGUCCACGCCGUAAACGAUGAGUACUAAGUGUCGGGGUUAAACUCGGUACUGAAGUUAACACAUUAAGUACUCCGCCUGAGUAGUACGUACGCAAGUAUGAAACUUAAAGGAAUUGACGGGACUCCGCACAAGCGGUGGAUCAUGUUGUUUAAUUCGAAGAUACACGAAAAACCUUACCAGGUCUUGACAUACUCUGCAAAGCUAUAGAAAUAUAGUGGAGGUUAUCAGGGAUACAGGUGGUGCAUGGUUGUCGUCAGCUCGUGUCGUGAGAUGUUAGGUUAAGUCCUAAAACGAGCGCAACCCUUGUCGUUAAUUGCCAGCACGUUAUGGUGGGGACUUUAGCGAGACUGCCAAUUAAAAAUUGGAGGAAGGUGAGGAUUACGUCAAAUCAUCAUGCCCCUUAUGAUCUGGGCUACAAACGUGAUACAAUGGCUGUUACAAAGAGUAGCUGAAACGCGAGUUUUUAGCCAAUCUCAAAAAAGCAGUCUCAGUUCGGAUUGAAGUCUGCAACUCGACUUCAUGAAGUUGGAAUCGCUAGUAAUCGCGAAUCAGCAUGUCGCGGUGAAUACGUUCUCGGGGUUUGUACACACCGCCCGUCAAACCACGAAAGUUGAUAAUACCCGAAAGCAGUGGCUUAACUUUGCAAAAAGAGGGAACUGUCUAAGGUAGGGUCGAUGAUUGGGGUUAAGUCGUAACAAGGUAUCCCUACCGGAAGGUGGGGAUGGAUCACCUCCUUUCUAAGGAAAAAAAUCAUCUUCAGUUUUGAAAAACUUAGGUUGAAAAAAAAUUAAGUUUUUCUUUUUUAGGUUCUCUAUCAUUUUUAAAAUGAGCCUAUAGCUCAGUUGGUUAGAGCACACGCCUGAUAAGCGUGAGGUCGGUGGUUCAAGUCCAUUUAGGCUCACCAAUAUUUAAAUUUGAAAAAUAACUUAAAAAAAGUUCUUUGAAAAGUAGAUAAACAUGCCAUAUAAACUCUAUUUAAAUUGAAGGAAUUAAGGGCGUACAGUGGAUGCCUUGGCACUAAGAGCCGAUGAAGGACG